GCCAGCAGUGAGCGAAUGCUGAAUCCAGUUCCCAAUGGAUCACUGAAGUUAAGCAACAUUGUACGUGGUUAGUAUCAAGAUGGGUAACCAUCUGGUCAAUCACAUGCUGCUGGCU
rnacentral:rRNA from 1 species